UGGAGACAGGUUUUUCCAAAGCUCCUCCCCUGGCUCAGGCAAACACACCUGACCUUUCUCUCGCUGGGCCCAGGGUGAGGCAGAGCAGCCAGGAACAAGGUGGGGUGAACCAGACAGAGCUGGAGUGCUCUCCCACCCCUGCUUUGUCCAGCCUCCCCGCCAAGCCCAUGAUUCCACGCAAGGUAAGGCCCUCCUCCCAGAGGAAGGGGCCAACAGCCUGGUGACCUUGGAGUGUGCUUCGCCUGGCACUCCCCUCACACCGCUCCCUACAGCUUGUACUCUGCCUCUGACUCUCUUCCAAGAACAAUUUGGCAAGUUCUAAUCUACAUCUUGCAAAAAAAACAAAAAACAAAAAACAGAGAGGUAGGAGGGCCACAGCACCUGGGGUCCCAGAAGGCAGACUGACCUAUUCCUACAGCAGGGGUAAGUAACGCAGAAAACCUCCAGGCAAAGAGACAUGGAGAUCUUCGAAAUGGAAUGGGGGGUGGAGGGAGUCACUGGGAGGCAAAAGGUGUGGGACACCUGAGGUUACUGAGACAGGGAACUUGGGAUUCCCUUCUGGGAAAUGACACAGCAUGGCAGCUGUCCUUCUUAUUCAGUCAAGCUACAUUGCCUCAUUCAACCAAAUCACAGCUACAAACCAGUGCCACAUGCCUGGAGGCUGAGUGGACACUCCUGGUCCUCCUCACGGAGAUAUAUAGCACUCUGAGUUCUGAUCCAGCUCAUCUGUGUGAAGUCCUCAGACAAGCACAUAACCAUUAGACUCCCACAGGAGGCUCCUUGGAGCAUGGUCCAGCUAGUUUAUGUCUUGAAGGGGCAGCCGUGCUCCAGGUGCAGUCUUGGGAGCCAUCUGAUCACUGUCCCUUCAUCCGAGCAUCUGCCUGCUGAAGGAGGCUAGGCCAUGUGCUGACAAGCACUAUGGACAGACAGCCCGGGGUCAAGUCCUAGCUCCUCCAUCCCCCAGCUGUGUAACCUGGACCAGGACGACUGUAUCUCUGACCAAUCUCAGAAUAUAGCUGGAUUACUAGGAGGAAAACUAAGUGAGUGCUUAGAGGCAGGCAAAGUAAGGAUAACCAUUUGUAGAUGAUGUGCUAGAGAUGCUGACCAUCAUUCCUUACUCUUAACAUAAUUAUUAUGAGAAAAAUUAGAACCUCCUCAUUGGACUUCCUUAUUCCUAUGCCGAAGUAUAAUGUUCUGUUUUUACUAACAUAUGGGGGGUGGCACACACAAAGCUUUGCAUGUCUAGGGCCUCUAGGGAUCUCAGUCUGGCCUCGCUAUGAAAUUUCUGCAAGGCCUGUCAAUUCCCUGAUGUAUCACGAGUGUUCCCGAACAAUAAGCUCAUUUACCAGGUCUUGCUGUGACCAGAUAGUUUUUAAUCGCCAUGAUCACUGGGUUGACAGGUUGAGCUUGAGCUCUACCAUAAGCCUGUGUCUUUCCAA
rnacentral:lncRNA from 1 species